CGUAGGGUGCGAGCGUUAAUCGGAAUUACUGGGCGUAAAGUGUGCGCAGGUGGCUGAGCAAGUCGAGUGUGAAAUCCCCGGGCUUAACUUGGGAAUUGCGCUCGAAACUACUCGGCUCGAGUGUGGCAGAGGAAGGUGGAAUUCCAGGUGUAGCGGUGAAAUGCGUAGAGAUCUGGAGGAACACCGAUGGCGAAGGCAGCCUUCUGGGCCAACACUGACGCUCAUGCACGAAAGCGUGGGGAGCAAACAGGAUUAGAUACCCUGGUAGUCCACGCCCUAAACGAUGAUGACUAGUUGUUGGGGGAGUUAAAUCCCUUAGUAACGCAGCUAACGCGUGAAGUCAUCCGCCUGGGGAGUACGGUCGCAAGAUUA
rnacentral:rRNA from 1 species